AGUGAACGCUGGCGGUAGGCCUAACACAUGCAAGUCGAACGGCAGCACAGUAAGAGCUUGCUCUUACGGGUGGCGAGUGGCGGACGGGUGAGGAAUACAUCGGAAUCUACUUUUUCGUGGGGGAUAACGUAGGGAAACUUACGCUAAUACCGCAUACGACCUACGGGUGAAAGCAGGGGAUCUUCGCACCUUGCGCGAUUGAAUGAGCCGAUGUCGGAUUAGCUAGUUGGCGGGGUAAAGGCCCACCAAGGCGACGAUACGUAGCUGGUCUGAGAGGAUGAUCGGCCACACUGGAACUGAGACACGGUCCAGACUCCUACGGGAGGCAGCAGUGGGGAAUAGUGGACAAUGGUCGCAAGCCUGAUCCAGCCAUACCGCGUGGGUGAAGAAGGCCUUCGGGUUGUAAAGCCCUUUUGUUGGGAAAGAAAAGCAGCAGGUUAAUACCCCGCUGUUCUGACGGUACCCAAAGAAUAAGCACCGGCUAACUUCGUG
rnacentral:rRNA from 1 species